rnacentral:rRNA from 1 species
AACUCCUACGGGGGGCAGCAGUGGGGAAUAUUGCACAAUGGGGGAAACCCUGAUGCAGCAACGCCGCGAGAGAGAAGAAGUAUUUCGGUAUGUAAAGCUCUAUCAGCAGGGAAGAAGAUGACGGUACCUGAAUAAGAAGCCCCGGCUAACUACGUGCCAGCAGCCGCGGUAAUACGUAGGGGGCAAGCGUUAUCCGGAUUUACUGGGCGUAAAGGGAGCGCAGACGGCAGUGCAAGUCUGGAGUGACAGCCCGGGGCCCAACCCCGGAAAUGCUCUGGAAA